CGCCGACGGCACCACUCCGCCCGCCCUCUGCGCACCCCCUCGCCGCCCGCCCCGCCGGGCGACGCAGGACCGCCUUAGGCGGGGGCAGGGGGAUGGUGAUUCGAAAAGAAGAGUGAAUUUGAGCAACAGUUGUACAGAAGUACAGAAGCAGAUGCUUGGACAGUUUGCACAGAAAAUUCUUCGCUAACUGCAAUCGAUCAAUCCUGCCAGUGGCGAAGACGAAAAUAUUUCAGAAGCAGCAAACUUCUUUCCUGGCAGGACGUACUCACAUUCCUUUAGAUCCCUCCCCCGUCUUGAUCAGUAUUUGUGAGUUGGUUGCUGGCCUUGCAUUCCACAUAUAUCUACUUAGAAAGGAAACUAAAGCUUAAACACAGUUACAGUUACCUAAACUGGCCUUUUGUAUGCACAAGCUUCUUCAGUUUCACUAAGCUCUUUGAAACAUUGGCCUGCCUGUGAUAAUUCCACCACUGUUCCCUCUGCGCAGCCUUUACACAUGGAGGUUUGCAAACCUAGAUUGUGAUUCAACUCACAUAUUUAUUUAUUUAUUUAUUUUUAUAAAUAAAUAAAGAGGAUCUCGCUUGAUCGCCCAGGCUGGAGUGCAGUGGCCCCAUCAUAGCUGCCUGCAGCGUCCAGCUCCUGGGCUUAAGCGAUCCUCCCAUCUCAGCCUCUCAAGUAGCUGGGACCACAGGGGCAGGCUCUCAACUCACAUUUAUUGAGUGCCUAUGAAGAGCCAGGCACCCACGGUAGCCUUGUUUAAUCUUUGAAUUAAUUAUGGCAGAUGGCAUUGUAUUCAAUUUUCAGUAGAGGAAAAUGCAGCUCCCUGAGGUUAGGGUAACAAUUACGGAUACUCUCAGGUCUGGCUCUGUGAAGAGACUCAGUAAGUGGCCAACCACACUUGAUUGACUACUUCAUAUGACACAAUUUUAAAAAUUGGACUUGUGUAUUCCUGGCAAUUACUAUUGACAAUGUGGAAUCCAGGACUUCAAUGAGUUUGCAGUUUCAUUGAGGAGAGAUGAUGACAUAUACAUACAUAAUAUUUUAUAUAUUUUGGCCAGGCGCAGUGGCUCAUGCCUGUAAUUCCAGCACUUUGGGAGGCCGAGGUGGGUGGAUCAUUUGAGGGCAGGAGUUUGAGACCAGCCUGGCCAACAUGGUGAAACCCCCGUCUCUACUAAAAAUACAAAAAUUAGCCGGGCAUGGGAGCAGGCGCCUGUAGUCCCAGCUACUUGGGAGGCUGAGGCAGGAGAAUCACUUCAACCCAGGAGACGGAGGUUGCAGUGAACUGAGAUCACACCACUGCACUCCAGCCUGGGCAACAGAAUGAGAUAACAUCUCAAAAAAGUAUUUUAUAUAUUUUAUAUACACUCUCUCUCUCUCUCUCUCUCUCUAUAUAUAUAUGUAUGUUCUGUGUAUAUGUUUCAUAUAUUAUAUAUGCACAUUCAAUAACAUUCUCAGAGAAAUACGAUUUUAAAAGAAGUCAUAUGGCAGUAUAUGAAUCAGGGACAAACAAGGAUGCAAGUUAAAAAGUGCUAUGGAAACAAUGGUCCAGUCUAGAAAUUCAUAGGAUUUCACGAACAAGGCACAAAAAGGGAAGAGAGGGAAUCUGGGUUGGAAGGAAUGAUAUGAACAAAAACUCAGCCAAAGAUAGUACUAUGUAUGGUGCAUUUCAGGCCAUUCUGGUGGAAAGUAGGGAAUUAAUGAAGAAAUAAGGAUGAAAAAGAUACUAGAAGCCCCCAUUUCCAUUCCGAUACAAAUGUCAGUGUAGAAGGGCAAUGCCUACAUGGGCUAGGGUACAAAAAAUAUAGGACUGUUGGGGGCAGUGUGUUAGUUUUCUACUGCUGUUUAACAAAUUAUUACAAAUUUAGUGGCUUAAAACAACACAAGCAUUUACUAUCUCACAGUUUCCAUGAGUCAGAGGUCUAAGUUUACCUGGGUUCUCUACUUAGUCUCAUAAGUCUGCAGUCAACGUGUCAGCCAGGCUGUUUUCAUCUGGAGGUUCACCUGGGAAAGAACUGGCUUCCAGGCUCAUUCAGAUUUCUGGCAGAAUUCAUUUCCUUGGGGCUGUUGCUGGUGACCAGAGGCCACCUUCAGGUCCACCUUCUGUUGCAGGUCUCUGCCAUAUGGCUUUCUCCAUUGGCUGUUCACAACAUAGCUGCUACUUCAGGGCCAGCAGAGAAAUCUCUUACUCCAAGAUGGAGCCUUAUGUAAUGUAGAUAAUCUCAACUAGAAGCAAGUCACAGGUCCCACCCACACUCAAGGAAAGAAUAUUAUACAGGAUGUAACACCAAGGAUUGGAGAUCAUGGGGCCAGCUAAGAAUUGUGCCUAAUAUUAGAUAGGGAUGGGAUUAUUAAGAUGGGGAUGUGAUUAUUUCCUGGAAACAAACUUUG
rnacentral:lncRNA from 1 species